rnacentral:lncRNA from 1 species
AUAUGAGCCCAUCACUAACCUUCCUUAUUUAAGCUAUGUAUUUUUCCAGCUAAUUUGUGCUAUAAUUUUUAGACACAAACUUGUUUGUUUACAUAUUUUACAGUUUUUUCUAGAUUUCUUAAAGCUAAAAAACUAUACAUAACAUACUGAUUGUUUGACUGCAUUACUUAGCAUUCCAUCCGUGCAGGCAGAUGGUGUUCCUAGGUUUGGAAAUAUAAAUCCCAUGGGAAGUCAGCUGAAGACCAUUUUAUGCAUCACUCAUCCUGUUAGAGCCCUGUGCUGUUCUGUCUCUCUAUAAGACUGGCUGAAACCACCACGGUUGUUUACAAUUUAUGCUCUAACUUUGGAUCACCUAGUUAAUACUCUAACUCCGAUUAUUACCAAAGACAAUGUUCUAUAAAAGAUAUUGUCUAUUAGAAGGAUGCUUCUGCAUUAUUAAUAAAAUCACAGGGAAAAUGCAACAUUUUGGAUGUCACAUCUGAUAAGGUAAGAUUUUAUCAUGUCUCGUAAGAUGUGAUUUCAUACGAUUUUACUUAUGACUAUCCUAGCCCCAGGAAAGUUUUCAUUUAUCCAUUUGAUGUAGAAAUCUAUCAUAUAAAGCUUCAUAUACAAUUAUUUAAACUGUGACCUAAAAGCCGGGCUACUGAAUAUCUUUUGUUUAUGUGUAAGUCACAUUAUUUUUACUGUUUUUUUCAUCCUUUGCAGCUUAGAAAAAUAUAACUCAGUACACCAUACAGCAUAUUUAAAUUAAAAUAUAAAUUAUGUACAUCAUUAUUCUUAUGGGGGGGGAGCCGCUGGGAAAGGCAUGCUAUUCUAUAACCCUGGACAAAAUUUGACUUUUGAUGUGUGAAUUCUUAAAUGUGCACAAACCAAAGACAAUGGCAUAUAUACUUUGACACAUUCUGAAGUUAAAAGAGGACAUGAGGAUUGUGAGAUAAGUGGCGAUUGUGUCUACUAUUGUAAUAAUAUAA